CAAAUCCUGAAAUUAAACAUGUGUGAGAUAACAAACAUCUGUGAACCUCAUGUCCACAUCACGGCGGUCUGACAUGUGUUCCUGAGAUGACACGCUCAGAACAGUGCAGGACCCUCGGGGAUAGAUCGGAAAUCCAGAGCUCCUUCCACAUACAGGGCAGGCGACAUGCUUCCCGAGGUCACGCUCUACCGUCUCUCCGGAUGAAAGGGCAGAGUGAGCAUAAGGCACAGCCCCGGCUGCGUGUCUGUCAACAGGAGUGAAGACCAUUUCAACUGCUGGCGGGCAGCCUUGAGCCAAGACACACUCUCCAAUUCUCAAAGGGGACCACGGUUCCUAAAGAAACUGAACAUCCACUACGACUAUGACAGCAAGAGGCUGUGUGAGCCUCCAGGAGCUGGGACUGAGAUCCGCUGGCAGAGAGGAAGCUUAGGAGGUGAGGAAUCCUAAAGUCUGCCUCUGAACAAACCAUCCCCGUUAGCGUCCAUCUGCUGGCCUUUGAGAGACUCAGGACCUAACGGAGGAACUGCCCAACUCACCCAGCAAUGGCCUUCAAGCCAUCUCUUCUGGAUUCAGCGAAGCUUACAUCCUCGGGAGAAGUGUGGGUAACUGCUCUUAGACCUGUGAGAACCUGGAAAGCAAUAAAAAAUCACAGAAGAGCCAUGCACUGUAACCAAGUGCACUAUUCAGUGAGGAGGCAAUGCUGGCCCAGGGCCACAGACCCCGCACCACACCACGGCAGCACCUGCCACCACCUUCCUCAUGGUGCCUCCCAUGUCCCACAGUGCAGCCCAGGAAGGACACUGAGGGAGGUGUCACCUCCAGCCGCUCCAUGGCCCCCUUUACAUCGCAGAACGACACCCAGGGAGGGGUCACCUCCAGCCGCUCCGCAGCCCUCGCCCCAGAGCGUCACUGGGGUGUUUCUGCACCCUGGCUGAGGUCCCCCUCUUGUUCUAUGCUGAGACCUGGGGUAUGGGAUGAAGGAAGCUGCUGGCUCCCGGCAGCCUCAUCUGUCACUUCUCCAAGUGAUCAUGUUUCACAUUUAUCAGAGUUUCAACCAGAUAAACCCCCAACUCAUGUUUUAGAUGGCA